CUGGUUAGGUUGGACCAAGUUUUCAGUGGCGAUGGUUAGGUCCGGUUGGUUUUGGUGUGGUCUCCUCCAAUGGUGAGCAGGGUCCGUUGUUCACGGGUGAAGGUAGCCGACAAUGGGUGAUGAUGGGUUAGUUGUUCCUCUACUCCCGCAGUUUCAUGAUCCAUCAGAGAAUCGUUGUCUUCCUGAUUCUGUUGUUGGUGGGCAUCAGUUGGAGAUGUGUG
rnacentral:lncRNA from 1 species